rnacentral:rRNA from 1 species
GACGAACCGUGCGAACGUUAUUCGGAAUCACUGGGCUUAAAGCGCGCGUAGGCGGGCCGGCACGUCGGAUGCUGAAAGCCCCCGGCUCAACCGGGGAACGGGCGCCGAUACGACCGGCCUGGAGGGGGGUAGGGGGCGCCGGAACUGCCGGUGGAGCGGUGAAAUGCGUUGAGAUCGGCAGGAACGCCCGUGGCGAAAGCGGGCGCCUGGACCCCGCCUGACGCUGAGGCGCGAAAGCCAGGGGAGCGAACGGGAUUAGAUACCCUCGUAGUCC